GAAAAUAAAUUCAUGCUGCAUUAAGCUGUUAAACUUGUGGUUAUUUGUUAUGGUAUCAAUGAAAAAUUAAUAAUUAUUCCUGUACUUGAUUCUAGCUUCUUAGAAACAGUUCCUACAAACCAAGGCUUAGCUGGUAAAUGCAACAGCAUUUUUCAGCCCUACAGCUCAGUGCUCACUCUUGACCUUGCUGAAGCCCUGCCUCCUUUCUGAAGCCCUUUCCUCCCUGGGUGUCUAUGAUGCUUUCCCCACUCUUGGUCCUCUUCAUUUGCUCUGACACCCUCAGGGGUUCUUUCUCCAAUCUUCUGUAAAUGUUGCUAUUCCUCAAGGUUCUGUCCCCAGGCUUUCUUCCUACCUUAUUUGUACUCCAGACUUCUAACUAUAAAAGCUAGCUAAAGACUCCCAAAUCUUAUCCACAGCACAGAAACUACUCUUUAGUUUCAAAUCACUAUCCAUCUUGAAGGGUGUCCCCAAACCUCCAUUAAUUUCAACCUGGUCUUUCCUUCCAAACCAGUUCUCUAUUUCCUUAACUCCCUUCUCCCAUGAACUGCCCUCCAGUCAACCAAAUCAGCCAAGUUACUCUGCCAUUAUCUUAAGACUACUCUUUCUCCCUACAUCAUUGGUAACUACAUGCAUUUGUGUAUUUCUUGAAUGUCUCUUUCUGUCCCAAUGCCACAGCCUAAUUUAGGAAUCCAUCAUUUCUGAAAAGGAUUAGUAAACUCCCACUUUGCUUCUUCACUUCCAGUCUAGCCAAGAGAUCUAUCCUCCACCUUCUCUCCAGCAUGAAUUUUCUAAAAAGUCUUACUUAACUACCUGUUUAUAAAAGUGUCCAAGAGUUCUCAGUAGUUCUCAGCAUAAAUUCUGCCCUUUUAGGACUAAUUUCUUUCAGUCUUAAAACUCAUCUAUUAACACAUUCAUGCUUCUCUAUAUGCUAUUUCUCAUAACUGAGAUGCCUUUCUGCCAUUCAGUUUUAUCGGCUGACUGACACUAUGCCUCAAAAGCAGUGUUUGAAAAAUCACUAAAUUUUUUUUUGGGGGGGGGAAAUCACAUAAAAGUGUAAAGCGAAAAUAAUAAUGUGUUCUUAAAUCUCAAAAAAAUAAAAAGUUUUAGUAGUCACACAGUUUGAACUACAAAAUAAAGCUUCAAAAUGAGCUUCAACUUCAUAGCUCAACUACAAUAUGAUAGAAUGUAGUCUGAACAUGGCACUGUAGCACCAAGUUUCAUGUUCUUUUAUUUAAAAGGCAAGGGUUUAAAACUGUUCCAAGUGGUUUUUUUAAGUUGUCAAGGGAAAAGGUUAAGCUAGAUGAUCUAAAGGUUCAUUAAAGUUGAUACUUCUAGCUUUUUCGUUAACAGCACUAAAACUUAUUAGGUUCUGAAAACAAACAAUAGUACUGCUCCAUUUCUACAGAUCCAUUAGCACACUCAUUCCCUCCCAAUAACUAACUUUAUCAACUAGAUAAUGAAUACAGUCUAUCUUCGAAGGAUUUCGCAAUAAGGUCUAAAUGUGGUCUUAAGAACCAAUAAGAUGUGAAGACAAAACUGAAAAGAGAUCAGCCGAUUACCCAAAGGAGGGCUACCUCAAGUGAUUAAAUGACCCAGAGUGACAUAAAAGGUUUAAAGCAAGCAAAAUCACAAGGCUAGACCAGGAUUUUGAUGGCUUUUAUGUAUCAAAAAAAUUCAACAUAAAUUAACUCUUCUAAUUUGAGAGUUCUUUCCAUGACCAUUCAAUUCACUUUCUCCUUUCAGAACUUAGGGGCUUGGGGCUUUUAAGUCCCAAGCAAACGCCUCCUCCUUAUUGCUUGGGCAGGUGCUAUAAAUAAAAUCAACUAAAGUAUCUGAUCGUAAACGGGCUUUCGGCGAUAAUAAGUCUCCAGUAAUUAGCGCUUCGUUGGAUUCAACACAAGCCUCUCGCUCCCUCCCCAGCGGCGCGCACAUGGCUCCAGGGAGCUCAUCAAGAGAGCGGCCCGGAGUUACAGGCCCCCACCGCUGUAAGGGUUAGGUCCCUUGGCCUUUAGAGGUGGGGAGGGCGUAGGCGCAGCCUUUUUUGGGUCUGUUCGCUUUUUCUGUGAGAAGUAGCCGACGGAGUGAGCAGCGCCGGGAGGCUACCGGGGAGCCCCCCUCUCCAUUCAUCCCUCGGGAACGCGCACCGGGGCUCGAGCGAGGAACCGGCCGAAAUGGCAACCGCUGGAAUAACCGACGGCUCCCUGGGGGCCCUUAACCCGCAGGAAGAGCUCCGGCUUGGGGGGACACCUGGAAUUCCCCGCGCCAGCGCAGCAGGCUUUCCAACUUCUGUUACACAACAUGGAGUUCUUGUUUGGCGGAGCAGAAACAAAUCUGACUAGGAACCAUGAGGUUGCAGGACUCCAGCCUGGAGACACAGAUUUGAAGAAGCACUUGAAUUGUGUUCUGAUGAUUACAAAAUGAGAGAGGCUUACAAAACCGAAAGAAGUUGCAUCAAGUUGAUAUCAAGAAUUGCUGGGAGCCACAAAGUGGCUAAGAAGAAUAAUCCUGCGUGAGGCCUAACUGUAAGCAAAGCUACAGCAGAGGCUGAAGAAACUGAAGCUGCAAAGCAGUUUCGAAGAAUCCCCCAGCUGAUGCUGUUUAGUAAAAAUUCCUGAAAUAUGAUUUCCUCUUCUAUUCUUGCGCUUCUUUCCUGUCUGACGUUUAUGUGUGUUGUGAGUCAUCCUUGGCUCAUAAUAUGGGAACCUUCUCAAAUUCCUGAGCGUCACCCAAGCAUGGGCCAUUACCUACUUAUAAACCUAAGCCCUUGUCAAAUAGGUUGAAAACAAUUGAACUACGCAUAAAGAACUUUCCUAAGAAUGGGAAGUUUCCUUUCAGAGGAGUAAUAGUAAAUAUUACGCAGAACUGCCACAUAAGCCUGGGGAUUUUGUUGGACUUUGGUCCGUCCCCAUGGAGACAGAUUAGGGGGUGGUUUCGGUGUUGCCCAUGGCCCAACAAUUGUGGAUACUAUGAGGCAAGAUAUUUUUUUCUACAGUAAAUGCUACCUGUUGGGACCCAGCAGGUGGAAAUUAUUAUAAUUGGCAAGAUUCUUUUGAUAUAUAGAUUUUAUAAUUAAUAAAGAUUUCUGUAAUAGGUAAGGUUUAUUUAAGACAGUUUAUGUUCCCACAACCUGUUAAUGGUCUGAGGUCAGCCUGACCUCGAAAGCAAGCCAUGUGUGAAUACCCCACUCCCCAUUAAUGGCUGUUCAUGCCUGCUAGAGGAGCACAAUAGGUAGCUUGAGGCAAGAAUAUCACCUUAUGCCAAAUCAUUGUUAAAGCAAAAAUUAGAUACCUAUUAUUCUGCUUGCUAUUAACUUAUUUUCUAAGAAUAAAGUACAGUUUGUACGUAUUUUUUAUGUAAUCUUUAAAAUUUAAAAGAAUAGUUUGGAAUAAUAAAUUAGCAUAUAUUGUUGUUUUGUAUAAUCAUGCACAAGAGUAAAAUGUAUAAAAGCUGAUGCUCUUCUUUCAAUAAAUGGGUCAUCUGCAGCA